rnacentral:rRNA from 1 species
CAUCAAAGUGGAGGCUAUUGUAACUGAAGAGAACUGGAAAGUUCCACCGUAGAAGGUAAUAGUCCUGUAAGUGAAACGAGAAGACCACGAGUUAUGAUCCAGAGUACCACGAGACACGUGAAACCUUGUGGGAAGCAGGGAGGACCACCUCCCAAGGCUAAAUACUACCUGAUGACCGAUAGUGAAGCAGUACCGUGAGGGAAAGGUGAAAAGAACCCCGGGAGGGGAGUGAAAUAGAACCUGAAACCGUGUGCCUACAACCGCUCAGAGCCCCUUAUGAGGGUGAUGAGGUGCUUUUUGUAGAACGAGCCAACGAGUUACGGUAUGUAGCAAGGUUAAGUACUUAAGGUACGGAGCCGAAGGGAAACCGAGUCUGAAUAGGGCGACUAGUUGCAUGCCGUAGACCCGAAACCGGGUGACCUAUCCAUGGCCAGGUUGAAGCGAGGGUAAAACCUCGUGGAGGACCGAACCACGUUGCUGUUGAAAAAGCAUGGGAUGAGCUGUGGAUAGCGGAGAAAUUCCAAUCGAACCCGGAGAUAGCUGGUUCUCUCCGAAAUAGCUUUAGGGCUAGCGUCGAGUAUGAGUAGUGGAGGUAGAGCACUGAAUGGGCUAGGGGGCAUAGCGCUUACCGAACCUUAUCAAACUCCGAAUGCCACAUACUUUGAGCUCGGCAGUCAGACUACGAAUGAUAAGAUCCGUGGUCAAAAGGGAAACAGCCCAGAUCGUCAGCUAAGGUCCCAAAGUGUAAGUUAAGUGGGAAAGGAUGUGAGAUUUCUAAGACAACUAGGAUGUUGGCUUAGAAGCAGCCAUUCAUUAAAAGAGUGCGUAAUAGCUCACUAGUCGAGAGAUCUUGCGCCGAAAAUGUAACGGGGCUAAACUUACC